GAUGAACGCUGGCGGCGUGCCUAACACAUGCAAGUCGAGCGAACAGACGAGGAGCUUGCCCCCCUGCCGUUAGCGGCGGUUGGGGGAGUAACACGUGGAUAACCUACCUAUAAGACUGGGACAAACACGGGAAUCCCGAGCUAAUACCGGAGAAAAUAUCGAACCGGACGGCUCAAUAGCGUAAGACGGUUUUACUGUCUCUGAUAGAUGGAUCCGCGCCGGCUUAGCUAGUUGGUAAGGUAACGGCUUAGCAAGGCCACGAUGGGUAGCCGCCCUGAGAGGGUGAUCCGCCACACUGGAACUGAGACACGGUCCAGACUCCUACGGGGGGCAGCAGUAGGGAAUCUUCCGCAAUGGGCGAAAGCCUGACGGAGCAACGCCGCGUGAGUGAUGAAGGUCUGCGGAUCGUAAAGCGCUGUUGUUAGGGAAGAAGAAAUGUGUAAGUAGCUAGGCACGUCUUGACGGUACCUAAUCAAAAAGCCACGGCUAACUACGUG
rnacentral:rRNA from 1 species